ensembl:lncRNA
CGCAGACGUGGCAGUGCUGUCCUGCGGUGUUGUGCUGGCAGCCCUGAACACACAAGGAUUAUUCAGCAUCUCAAGCAGCUGCUUGUGUCUGUUAUCAGCUGCUCUGUGUUUCUCACCAGACACUCGCCCGUGUCCAGGUCACAUGACAGGCUGUGGUUGUUGCAGCGGCAGGGGACACAGGGCCGGAUGAGCGGACGCUUUCUGCCCUUCAUAUUGAGCUCAGACACGGCCUGACGGUUUGUGAGUCUGGAUAAAGGACAGGAACUAUCAGACACAUUCUACAUUCAUCAUGAAGGUUUGGUCUGAGAUCUGUCUGUAGAUGAUGAUGAUGAUGAUGAUGAUGAUGAUGACCUGACAGGAGAGUCCAGCGUAUCCCAGCGGACACUCACAGGUCUCCACCAGCCGCGCCACGUCUCCACCCUGAGGAGCCUCAUCCGCCUCCAGAGCCGUGUCCAUCGAGAUAUUAGAGAUCCUGCAGAGAGUUAACGCUCUUAAUUCACGUCUCACUCCGGACACGCCGUCGUGACCCCAGUGACCUUCCUCACACUCCUCACACUUCAGGCCGAGUGUGUGUGGAGGACAGAUACACUCUCCUGUGUGUGCGUUACAGUUCCCGUGUGUGUGUGCGCAGUCACACGCUAGAGGAGACACAAGCAGGUGACAUGAGACAACACUCUCUAACCAGCCUCAACGAGUGAUGGACGCUUUCGAAUCACUGCUUCGUGAAGCUUCUGUGAAUCAUUCGUUUUGAAACUGAUUCGGAGCUCAUAUAAAAAUGGCCAAAGUCACAUGAUUU